rnacentral:rRNA from 1 species
AUGUACCACAACAUACGGUCAUUUGGCAAACAAGAUGGUUUGGAUUGUAGUCAUCUGGAGCUCUACUUCUAUGAUGAUGAUCCCAGUUUAGAGCAUAGAUAUCGCAGUUGUCGCAAAGAGUGGUGCCAGAAAGACAAAGAAGUAAUCACACAACUGGUCGACAUACUUCGUGGCAACCCAUACUCUGAACACCUCCGUAGUAUGGGGCAUGUUGAUGAUGUGGAUGACUAUCACAUAACACUUAACCUUGACCAAAGGAUGGAUCAGAGAAGAUAUAAUGCGCCGACCACUUCAGAAGUAGCAGCUAUGUGGGUGGAGGGCAGUGAACGUCGUAGACAGUUCGGUAAUAGUGUCAUCCUGCAUGGGAAGAAUAGAGAUAUAUAUGGAAUCAAGUCCUAUCAUGGAUGCUAUGAUGCGUUGUCGUACCCUCUAUUCUUCCCUAGAGGCGAACUUGGGUGGCAUACUGAUAUCCCGAAGGAAGGUGUGUCCUAUGAAACUGUGAUGGCAGCUCGUGCAGCCCGUCUAGCUCGUGGUCAUAGUGAUGAGUCUUCUAAUCCUGGUGAUAAAGAUGAUGAGGACGAGGAUGAUAAUGCAGGUUAG